rnacentral:rRNA from 1 species
UACGAAGGGAGCUAGCGUUGUCCGGAAUCACUGGGCGUAAAGCGCACGUAGGCGGGCUUGUCAGUCAGGGGUGAAAUCCCGGGGCUCAACCUCGGAACUGCCUCUGAUACAGCAAGUCUUGAGUCCGGAAGAGGUGGGUGGAAUUCCUAGUGUAGAGGUGAAAUUCGUAGAUAUUAGGAAGAACACCGGUGGCGAAGGCGGCCCACUGGUCCGGUACUGACGCUGAGGUGCGAAAGCGUGGGGAGCAAACAGG